GCGCUCUUGGUGGAAUUGGUAGACACGCUAGUCUCAAAAUCUAGUUCUUCGGAGUGCCGGUUCGAUUCCGGCAGAGCGCACCA
rnacentral:tRNA from 1 species